GUGGCGCAGAGCAGCGGCUCGCCGCUGCUCGACGCGGCCGCCGUCGCGGCGAUCCGUGCCGGGCGCUGUCAUCCGUACGAGACGGCGGGCAUCGCGC
rnacentral:tRNA from 1 species